rnacentral:tRNA from 1 species
GGGAGUAUAGCUCAAUUGGACAGAGUUUCAGGUUUCGACCCUGACGGUUGUAGGUACCGCUUCGCGGAAGCAAGCUACAAGUCCUACUACUCUCG